CCUUUCAGGUAGAUCACAGCACCCAGGACCAGCCAGAUCCCCCUGUAUCCCGGUCUCCUCAUCCUGUAGGGGGCACUUCUGCCCAGAUGGAGAGGGGACGUUGUGUAGGGCACCUCCAAAAAAAUAUCCCAAAUCCAGGAGUCAGCACAAAUCCAAAAAAAUCCCAAACACAUGGACCCCCAGCAGCCCCAGAGGACACACAACCAGCGUGCAGCAGACAGCAGACUGGAAUCUUCACCCACGUGUGCUACAGGGAUCCCUCCAACUGCCCCCCCUGAGCCCAGCCAAUCCUGCCCCCCUACCCCAGGGCUGGGAGAUCCAGGCAGGGAGCCUGGGACAGGGCUGCAGCAUGCAGGGCAGCAGAUCCUUUAAACCUGAUCCAUGCACAGCCAAAUCCCAGACUAGGAAAAGCUGCUCGCUGCUCUGCUGCAAAACCCAAGGAGGAUGCGCACACACAGCAGAGAGAGAGAUUUAACAUCAGCCUCCACGUGCACCAGGACAGACUGCAGGACAGCACUGGGACCUGGCUGCUGGAAGAGGGAGGUCUCAGCACCUCCUGCCAGAGAGAGGUCCUGGGGUAAAUCACCUGCUGGAGAGAAGACCUGGGAGAUCACCUGCUGGAGAGAGGUCCUGGGGUAAAUCACCUGCUGGAGAGAAGACCUGUGAGAUCACCUACUGGAGAGAGGUCCUGGGGUAAAUCACCUCAUGGGGAUAUGGAAAGGACCUGGGAGCAGAUCACUUACUGGAGAGAGGUCCUGUGAGAUCACCUGGGGCGAUAAUCUGGGAAGAAUCACCUGAAGAGAGGAAUCACCUGAAUAGAGGUCUUGGGAGCAGAUGAUUUGCUGGAUUGAGGUCCUGGGAGAAGAUAACCUGCUGGAUUGAGGUCCUGGGAGUAGAUCACCUGCUGGAUUGAGGUCCUGUGAGCAGAUCACUUGCUGGAUUGAGGUCCUGGGAGCAGAUCACCUGCUGGAUUGAGGUCCUGGGAGCAGAUCACCUACUGAAUUGAGGUCCUGGAAGCAGAUGACUUGCUGGAUUGAGGUCCUGGGAGCAGAUCACUUGCUGGAUUGAGGUCCUGGGAGCAGAUAACUUGCUGGUUUGAGGUCCUGGGAGCAGAUGACUUGCUGGAUUGAGGUCCUGGGAGCAGAUGACUUGCUGGAUUGAGGUCCUUGGAGCAGAUCACCUGCUGGAAUGAGAUCCAGUGAUGUGAGAUCACGUGUAGAAGACAGUGCUGGCUGGCUGUAGAGUGCUUGGGGUGUGAGAUCACUUGCUGGGUGAUAGUGUCUAGGAUUGUAGACAGCCUGGGAUUAUACAGUCUCUGGGGUGUAAUCUCAUGUUGAGGAGAGUCUGGGGUGAUCACUGACUGGGGGAUCUCAUGGAUUUAAAGAUCAAGAGAUCUGCUGCCUCUGGGUCUCUCAGUUUUUUAAGGAUCUGUUUCUGAAAAUGUCUGGGACCUCAAAGUCUUCCUGUUUUGUUCAUGUGCUGAACCUGGAUCCUGUAAUUCACCAGGAGAAAUGUUGCUGCUGACUCCCUCUCCCUGAUGGGGCACUCUGCUGCUAACCCCCAGUAUGUGGAACUCUGCUGCUAUCCUCCCAGUAUGGGGCACUCUGCUGCUACCCCCAGUAUGUGGAACUCUGCUGCUAUCCCCCCAGUAUGGGGCACUCUGCUGCUACCCCCAGUAUGUGGAACUCUGCUGCUAUCCCCCCAGUAUGGGUCACUCUGCUGCUAUCUUCCCAGUAUGGGGCACUCUGCUAUCCCCCCAGUAUGAGGCACUCUGCUGCUAUUCCCCCCAGUAUGAGGCACGCUGCUACCCCCCCAGUAUGAGGCACUCUGCUGCUAUUCCCCCCAGUAUGAGGCACGCUGCUACCCCCCCAGUAUGAGCACUCUGCUGCUACCCCCCAGUAUAAGGCACUCUGCUGCUAUUCCCCCCAGUAUGAGGCACUCUUCUGCUACCCCCAAGUAUGGGGCAAUCUGCUGCUAUUCCCCCCAAUAUGAGGCACUCUGCUAUCCCUCCAGUAUGAGUCACUCUGCUAUCCCCCCAGUAUGAGUCACUCUGCUAUCCCCCCAGUAUGAGGCACUCUGCUGCUGUCUCCCUAAUAAUGAGUACCAAAGGAGAAGUUUGCUGCUGAUUCUCCCACAGGGAUUUUGAUGCCCCCCCCUUCCCCCCAGUACAGG